AGAGUUUGAUCCUGGCUCAGAAUGAACGCUGGCGGCGUGCUUAACACAUGCAAGUCGUACGAGAACUCUUUAGCUUGCUAAAGAUAGUAAAGUGGCGCACGGGUGAGUAACGCGUGGGUAAUCUACCUCCGAAUCGGGGAUAACCCGCCGAAAGGCGAGCUAAUACCGGAUAAUAUCUAUAAAAUUUCGGUUUUAAAGAUCAAAGGUGGUCUCUACAUGUAAGCUACUGUUUGGAGAUGAGCCCGCGUACCAUUAGCUUGUUGGUAGGGUAAUGGCCUACCAAGGCUUCGAUGGUUAGCUGGUCUGAGAGGAUGAUCAGCCACACUGGAACUGACACACGGUCCAGACUCCUACGGGAGGCAGCAGUGAGGAAUUUUGCGCAAUGGGGGAAACCCUGACGCAGCAACGCCGCGUGAGUGAUGAAGGCUUUCGGGUCGUAAAGCUCUGUCAAGUGGGAAGAACAUGCUUGAUGCUAAUACCAUCUUGCACUGACGGUACCACUGAAGGAAGCACCGGCUAACUCCGUGCCAGCAGCCGCGGUAAUACGGGGGGUGCAAGCGUUAUUCGGAGUUAUUGGGCGUAAAGGGCGCGUAGGCGGUCUCUUAAGUCAGAUGUGAAAGCCCGGGGCUUAACCCCGGAAGUGCAUUUGAAACUAAGGGACUUGAGUAUGGGAGAGGGAAGUGGAAUUCCUGGUGUAGAGGUGAAAUUCGUAGAUAUCAGGAGGAACACCGGUGGCGAAGGCGACUUCCUGGACCAAUACUGACGCUGAGGCGCGAAGGCGUGGGGAGCAAACAGGAUUAGAUACCCUGGUAGUCCACGCAGUAAACGGUGAACACUAGGUGUAGCGGGUAUUGACCCCUGCUGUGCCGUAGCUAACGCAUUAAGUGUUCCGCCUGGGGAGUACGGUCGCAAGAUUAAAACUCAAAGGAAUUGACGG
rnacentral:rRNA from 1 species